AAGGAAUAUUUUAAGUUUAUAUAAAGCCAGAUGUAUGGUAAAGUUGAGAGAGAAUUGGCAUAAAAAAAAAAAAGAGAGACAUAUGGCUAAGAAUAAUGGUAUGAGAGAUGCAAUUGCAAUAUUGGCAAUCGGAAUAGUUGUUUUUUCAGUGAUUGGUGAAUCGUAUAAGAGUAUUUUAGAAGGACCUUGGAUUUCAUCUUAUAAUAUUGCAUCAACGUUGAACAUUUGUAUCGAGCAAUGCAGGCAACAGUAUUCAUAUAGUCACGAAAAGAGGCAAACAUGCAUUAUGAGCUGUUGUGUUUCCGAAUGUCAUUUGCUCGAACCCACUGAUCCCAAAAGAUUCAGGAUAUGCGUCGAGAAGCUUUAUGCCAAGUAUGUCCAUGUAAAGGACUAAUCUAUCGCGGAUUGAAACUUUAUUUAAAGGUUUAUUGCUGGUCAAUGAGUUAGUGCAUGCAUAAAGCAAGAUUCAAACCCAACACUUACUUAAGUGGAUUAGUGACUUAACCACUAAAUUAACCCAACUUAAUUUUAUUAUUUAUGUUAUUACAUAUAUAUUUACAAUAAUAAAUUCCGUGUAAACUGACAUACAACAGUUUUUUUUGGUUAUGAACGUAACUCACAAAUAAUUUAAGCACUGCCUUUAUCCAUGGCUACCAAGCAAGCCCAACAGAGAGCAAAAAUCGCCGCCCUAAAAAGCGCCUAACCCAAUUAGCUCAAACAAAAUAAAAUAAUUCAUUAAAUAAUAAUAUUUAAUUCUAGCUAAACAUGUUAUUCUUUUUAAUUGCCCUGCAAAGAAGAGAACAAAAACUGUCCUAUAUUCUGAUACAAAUAAUAGAAAAAAAAAAAAAAACCGUUAAGCACCACAGCAAAACCCUUCGUCAAAUUUAAGAGGUAGGCAAGGCUAACCAAAAUAAUAAACUAUCCUAUAACAAUAUUAUUUUUGUACAAUAAGAAGUUAUUAUUUUGUUUGUUUAUAUAUUGGUAUUUAUACUUGUAGCUCUCGGUGUAAGGAGGAGAAACAAAUUAAAUUAAGCGAAGAAUAUUCCAUAUAAUGACACUACGGAAUAUUUUUUAAGUUUAUAUUAAGUGAUCUGUGCUUCAAUUAUCCUAUUUUAGCUUCUCUAAGGCAAUAGUAAUUAUUUAUUACAAUGUCAUACUUAUUUAAAUUUUAAAAAAUAAUUUUAUAGAUGUAAAAAAAUUUUGAGCAAAUUGAUCAGAUUGGAAUAAGCAAUUCACAAUAGUGUUGUAUUUUUUAUAUUUAAAACUAUUGUUUACAAUCCCAUCCUUAUUUAAAUUUUUCCAAUCAUAACAUCAGUUUAGUUCUUACUUUACUAUGUCAGAGCUAGAAAAUUAAGAAGAUAUUGCAAAUAACAUAACUAGUAAUUCUCAAUUUCAUUCACCAUCUCAAUCCCCAUAGAGAGGGAUUGAUCAUUGAUAAGCAACUAUAUUAGUAAAAACAG